GACGAACGCUGGCGGCAUGCCUAACACAUGCAAGUCGAGCGAGGCCCUCACGCCUAGCCGCGGAGGGGUGGGUAACGCGGGGUAACGUGCGCUUGGCUUCGUAAUAGCUCUGUGAACCUGGUCGUAAUACCGGAUGAGCCCUGUGAGGGAAAGAUAUGUCGGCGAAGGAUCGGCCCGCGUCGGAUUAGGGAGUUGGAGGGGUAAUGGCCUACCAAGGCGACGAUCCCUAGCUGGCUUGAGAGGAUGAUCAGCCACAUUGGGACUGAGACACGGCCCAGACUCCUACGGGAGGCAGCAGUGGGGAAUAUUACACAAUGGGGGAAACCCUGAUGUAGCCACGCCGCGUGAAGGAUGAAGGAUUUAGGGAUGUAAAGCUCUUUCAGCAGGGAAGAUAAUGACGGUACCAGACGAAGAAGCCCCGGCUAACUACGUG
rnacentral:rRNA from 1 species